rnacentral:rRNA from 1 species
UACAGAGGCCCCAAGCGUUACUGAGAAUCACUGGGUUUAAAGGGUGCGUAGGUGGCGCGUUAAGUCCGUUGUGAAAUCCCUGGGCUCAACCCAGGAAAUGCUUCGGAUACUGGCGUGCUUGAGGCUAGUAGGGGUCACUGGAACUGACGGUGGAGCGGUGAAAUGCGUAGAUAUCGUCAGGAACGCCAAUGGUGAAGACAGGUGACUGGGCUAGAUCUGACACUGAGGCACGAAAGCGCGGGGAGCGAACGGG